rnacentral:rRNA from 1 species
AGGCAGUGGCAGACGGGUGAGUAAUGCAUGGGAAUCUACCGUUCUCUACGGAAUAACUCAGGGAAACUUGUGCUAAUACCGUAUACGCCCUUUUGGGGAAAGAUUUAUCGGAGAAUGAUGAGCCCAUGUUGGAUUAGCUAGUUGGUAGGGUAAAGGCCUACCAAGGCGACGAUCCAUAGCUGGUCUGAGAGGAUGAUCAGCCACACUGGGACUGAGACACGGCCCAGACUCCUACGGGAGGCAGCAGUGGGGAAUAUUGGACAAUGGGCGCAAGCCUGAUCCAGCCAUGCCGCGUGAGUGAUGAAGGCCCUAGGGUUGUAAAGCUCUUUCACCGGUGAAGAUAAUGACGGUAACCGGAGAAGAAGCCCCGGCUAACUUCGUGCCAGCAGCCGCGGUAAUACGAAGGGGGCUAGCGUUGUUCGGAUUUACUGGGCGUAAAGCGCACGUAGGCGGACUUUUAAGUCAGGGGUGAAAUCCCGGGGCUCAACCCCGGAACUGCCUUUGAUACUGGAAGUCUUGAGUAUGGAAGAGGUAAGUGGAAUUGCGAGUGUAGAGGUGAAAUUCGUAGAUAUUCGCAGGAACACCAGUGGCGAAGGCGGCUUACUGGUCCAUUACUGACGC